UUCAACGACAGACCCUUUUAUUCUUGAAUAUUUACUGUUUUAUUAACUGUAUUGUGUUUUAUUACCAUAUUAUUGUGAUAUUAUCUGUAUUAUCUGUUACUAAUCUUAUAUAUUUUGUUUUUCAGGUGUUGAAACCGGUGUGGGUAUACUGACACCCCGCGGUCAAACAUGAGUGAAGAUUAUCGCCUAGAGGGCACUGAGGAGCUGAGGGCUGCAUGUCUGCAGUGGCAGGGUGAGGGUCCAGACCCCUGGAUGGAGCUCAGGAGGGUUCAGCAUGAGUUCCUCGAGGGGAAGCUGAGGGCCCUCAUUCAGAAGGUGGAGUCUCACUGCGCACAAGACCCCCUCAUUCUCCUGCCUUCUUGCGGCACCGAGGAGCCAGACCUCUGGAUGAAGCUCAGGAGGGUUCAGCUCAAGUUCCGCGAGGGGAAGCUGAAGGCCCUCAGUGAGAAGCUUUCCUGUCCCAGGCGGCAUGUUGGUAGAGUCCUGGUGCCGGUUAGGGAGGCAGCCCCCGCCCACAGGCUAGACUCUACCAAGCCUGAUAUCACAGGUCCAAUUGCACAGUGCCAAGAAGCUCCAGACCCAGACCUCACCACCACCACCUCUCAUCCGGAGCCAUCCAGCCAGGGGGACACUGCACUGUCACCCACCACUAAUACACAGCGCAGAUCCCUUAAACGCAUUGUCACUCACUUUAGGACCUCCAUUGUGUCUCGUUUCAGGUCUCCUAGAUUUAACCACAGUUGCUUUACGUACAUAGAUAUAGAGAUAGAUGUAGGAUACACAUAGAAACACACAUACACACUCUAAUAAACUCACAUAUACACAUACUAAUACA
ensembl:lncRNA